UACGUAGGGGGCAAGCGUUGUCCGGAUUUAUUGGGCGUAAAGAGCGUGUAGGCGGCCAGACAGGUCAGCUGUGAAAACUCGAGGCUCAACCUCGAGACGUCGGUUGAAACCGUCUGGCUAGAGUCCGGAAGAGGAGAGUGGAAUUCCCGGUGUAGCGGUGAAAUGCGCAGAUAUCGGGAAGAACACCCGUGGCGAAGGCGGUUCUCUGGGACUGGCCUGACGCUGAGAAGCGAAAGCGUGGGGAGCGAACAGG
rnacentral:rRNA from 1 species